rnacentral:rRNA from 1 species
AUUGAACGCUGGCGGCAGGCUAACACAUGCAAGUCGAGCGGGGUGAUGGUGCUUGCACUAUCACUUAGCGGCGGACGGGUGAGUAAUGCUUAGGAAUCUGCCUAUUAGUGGGGGACAACAUCUCGAAAGGGAUGCUAAUACCGCAUACGUCCUACGGGAGAAAGCAGGGGAUCACUUGUGACCUUGCGCUAAUAGAUGAGCCUAAGUCGGAUUAGCUAGUUGGUGGGGUAAAGGCCUACCAAGGCGACGAUCUGUAGCGGGUCUGAGAGGAUGAUCCGCCACACUGGGACUGAGACACGGCCCAGACUCCUACGGGAGGCAGCAGUGGGGAAUAUUGGACAAUGGGGGGAACCCUGAUCCAGCCAUGCCGCGUGUAUGAAGAAGGCCUUAUGGUUGUAAAGCACUUUAAGCGAGGAGGAGGCUCUUUUGGUUAAUACCCAAGAUGAGUGGACGUUACUCGCAGAAUAAGCACCGGCUAACUCUGUGCCAGCCGCCGCCGUA